rnacentral:rRNA from 1 species
AGCGAACGCUGGCGGCAGGCUUAACACAUGCAAGUCGAACGGCAGCACGGACUUCGGUCUGGUGGCGAGUGGCGAACGGGCGAGCAAUACAUCGGAACGUGCCCAGUUGUGGGGGAUAACUACUCGAAAGAGUAGCUAAUAUCGCAUGAGAACUGAGGUUGAAAGCAGGGGAUCGUAAGACCUUGCGCAACUGGAGCGGCCGAUGGCAGAUUAGGUAGUUGGUGGGAUAAAAGCUUACCAAGCCGACGAUCUGUAGCUGGUCUGAGAGGACGACCAGCCACACUGGGACUGAGACACGGCCCAGACUCCUACGGGAGGCAGCAGUGGGGAAUUUUGGACAAUGGGCGAAAGCCUGAUCCAGCAAUGCCGCGUGCAGGAUGAAGGCCUUCGGGUUGUAAACUGCUUUUGUACGGAACGAAAAGCUUCGGGUUAAUACCCUGGAGUCAUGACGGUACCGUAAGAAUAAGCACCGGCUAACUACGUGCCAGCCGCCGCAGUAA